rnacentral:lncRNA from 10 species
GCUGGAUGUGGUGGCACGUGCCUAUACUCCCAGCUACUCAGGAGUCUGAGGCAGGAGGAUCACCUGAGCCUCGAGAGCCAGAGGUGGAGGCUGCAGUGAACUCUGAUUGUACCACUGCACUUCAGCCUAGGUGACAGGGUGAGACCCUGCCUUAAAACAAACAAACAAAAAAAACCCAAAUAGGCCAAAUUCUCAUCAAAACUCUGAAAAAUAGCAUGUGCAUUGGUCAUUUCUAGCCCUCUUGACUUACUGUAGGUGUGAUCAGCACUGGAAAAGAUGCCUGCCCCUGCUGCCACAUAUGAAAGAGUAGUUUACAAAAACCCUUCCGAGUACCACUACAUGAAAGUCUGCCUAGAAUUUCAAGAUUGUGGAGUUGGACUGAAUGCUGCACAGUUCAAACAGCUGCUUAUUUCGGCUGUGAAGGACCUGUUUGGGGAGGUUGAUGCCGCCUUACCUUUGGACAUCCUAACCUAUGAAGAGAAGACCUUGUCAGCCAUCUUGAGAAUAUGUAGCAGUGGUCUUGUCAAAUUGUGGAGCUCUUUGACCCUGUUAGGAUCCUAUAAAGGCAAAAAAUGUGCUUUCCGGGUGAUUCAGGUUUCUCCAUUUCUUCUUGCAUUAUCUGGUAAUAGUAGGGAACUAGUAUUGGAUUGAAUGAAUA